AUUUCCGGAAUACUGAAUAGGGAAAUCUCGAGGAAUUCCCUGAAGAACUCCCAGAAAGAAAUCUUAUAAAAACUCGAAGAUCAAUUUCCGGAGGAGCUACCUGAAGAAUUUAUAGAAGAAUGUCUAGAUAAAUUCCUGGAAGAAUUCCUAGACGAGAUUCUGGUGAACUUUUUGAAGAUGUUCCGGAGGAACUCCUAGAGGAAUUUUUGAAGGAAAUCCUAGAGGAAUCUAGGAUCUAGAUUCCCGGAGAAACCCAUCGAGAAAAUACUGGGGUAGGAACUCCUUCAGGAAUUCCCGGUUAAACUCCCAUAGGCAUUUCCUGGAGAACUUCUCGAGAAAUUUAUGUACGAACACUUAGAAAAAAUCACAUUUGAAAAAUUUCCAAAAGAACUCCUAGGAAAAUUCCUGGAGGAACUCCUAGAAUAAAAUCAAAUUGAAACUCCUAGAGGAAUUCCCGGAGCAACUCUUAGAAAGAAAUAUGAUAGGAGCUCGAAGAGUAAUUUCCGGAUGAACUCCUAGAGGAAUUUUUGAUGGAACUCCCAAGAAAACUCCCGGAAGGACUCCUAGCGAAAUUCUUGGAAUUCCUAGAGUUAUUUUCGGGGAGACUUCUAGAAAAAAUUUCCUCUUGGAACUUCUAUAGCAAUUCCCAGAAGACCACCUAGCGGAUUAACCGGAGAAACUCCUCGAGGAAUUCCUUGAGGAAUCCUCGGAGAAUCUCUCAGAGAAAUUCUAGAGAAAUUCCCGGAUGAUCUCAUAAAAAAAUCCAAUCGGUACUUCUGAAAGAGUUUCCGGAGAAACUCCUAGAAGAGCUUCUUGAAAAAAUUCUGGACGAAUUUCUGGUAGAAUUUUCCGAGAAACUCCUCGAGGAAAUCCAGGAGUAACUCCUGAAAAAAGGCAUGUUCAACUUCUAGAGGAAUUUCUAGAGGUAUUCCUAGAGAUAUUUCCGGAGAGAUUUCUCAAGAAAUUCUUGGAGGUACUCCUACAGGAAUUAGAGGUAUACUACUUAAGAAUUGUUUGGAGGAGUUCCUAACGGAAUUGUUGAAUGAUCACCAAGAGUAAUUCCCGAAAAAAUUCUUAGGAUUCCCGGAAGAACUUGUACAGAAAUUCCUAGAGGAACUCCUAGAGUAAUUCUUGGAGGAAAUCCUAAUAGAAUUCCCGGCGAGACCAUAGGAACUCUCGGAGAAACUUCUAAACGAAGCCCCGCAGAAACUGCUGGACAAAUUACUAAGGGUGGGAACUCGUUCAGGAAUUCCCGGAGAAAUUCCUAUAGGCACAUUUCCGGAAGAACCUCUCGAAGAAUUCCAGAACAAACUCUUAGAAAAUAUGCAUUUGAACUUUUUAAAGGUUCCUAGAGAAACUUCUGGAGGAACUCUUAGAGGCAAUCUCAAGAGAGCUCUUUGGGGAAUUCCUAGAGAAACUCCUAGAAAAAAAAAAUGCAAUUGAAACUCCUAGAGGAACUCGCGGAGGACCGACUAGAGAAAUCCCGAGGAAUUCUUUGAGGAACUCCUACAAAGAAAUCUCAUAGGCACUCGAAAAGCAAUUUCUGGAAGAACUUCUAGAGGAAUUUCCGGAAGAACUCAAGAAGAAUUCCUGGAGACACUCGAAAAGGAUUUCACGAAGUAGCUUCUAGUGAAAUCCCUAGAGAAACUCCAAAGAGUUUCCUUUGGCAGUCUUCGAGGAAUUCCCGGAGGAACUUAUAGAAAAAAUCCUACUUCUAGAAGAAUUUCUAGAAAAACUCCUAGACAAUCUACUAGAGGGAUUCCUUGAGGAUUUUCUACAGGAGAUUUGCGAGGAACUUUGGGAAGAAUUCUCGGAGGAACUCCCCAAGAAUAUCCUGGAGAAGCUCGUAGAAAAAAAAAUCUUUUGAACUUCUAGAAAUUUUCUGGAAUUUCUUGGUUGGGCUCCAAAAGGUAUUUCUGGAGACACUUCCCAAGGUAUUUCCAGAGGAACUCGUAGAGGUACUCCUAGAGGAUUUUUUGGAGGAACACCUUGAGGAUUUCCGGGAGGAACUUCUCAAGAAAUCUCCUGAAGACUGCCUUGAAGGACACCUUGAGGAAUUCGUGGAGGACCUCCUAGAGAAAUUUCUGGAGGUACUUCAAGAGGAAUUCCUAGAGAAAUUCUCGAAGGAAAUCCAUUGAAUUUCUAGAUGAAUUUCCGGAUGAUAAAAAAAUAUUCACCGAUCCACCCAAAAUCAUCGGGUAUACCAUAUAUGAUUUCUAUGAAAUUCGUAGCUCUCCUAUGAGUCGACGCUUACAACCGACUAGAGUUUCGAGCAGUUUUAUUUUCUCUGUAUGUUUGAAUGAAAUAUGUUAAAUAAAUUUGAAUCUAUAAAAUGUUUCUGUUUUGUUUAAGUUUUGAGAAGAUUUAGUUUAUUUUCUCUUAGUUUUCCAUGUAAACCUUGAAUUGCAAUCAAUGCAAUGCAAUGAAUGCAAAUCAAUGCAUUUGCUGCUACAUAAAAUCAUUGAUUGAGUAUUCGAGCAACUUGCUCGAACUGCACGAAAUCAUUUUCAUAGCAACUAUUUCGCAGCUACCAAACGCACCUGCCCUGUCAGGACGGCGUUUGUUUAUACCGUGCUCUAUUGUUCUCCCAUCUGCGGGCAUCCAUCCACAGCCUUCAGCCGGGAGAGUUUUUUUUCUCUUCUGCUUUGUUGGUAUCUACUGAAAUGAGAAAAUUGAGGUCGGUGUGGAUCACCGUUUUUGUGGUUGCCAAUAAUGAUUUGAGAUCCUACCUUUAGAUACAAGAGGUUUGAUAAGUCUAACCAUUUAUGAUUCCAUGCUGUGAUAGUAUUUAGUUUCAAUAUAAAUGAAAACACAAUGAAAUGCUCGAUGAAACAAUAGUGGAAAUCUUCUCCGACGUCAAGCAUAAUAAGAAGUAACUCUGCUUGUUAUAUAUAAUUCGCCAUGCAUUUUAUUGCUGAAUCAAUACAAUACACUUAUUCUUGUUCUACUUCUUCGUAACUCCCGUCUUUUGGACUCAACCUGCUACUUAGCUUGUAAUUAUAAAGCAAAUAGCUAAGUGGUUUCUAUGAUCGAUGAAUCAUUUUCGCAUUCUUAUAUCGUAUAUGCAUGCUAAGAUACCCAUAGCCUUGGAUAACAACGAUAAUUUAUGUAAAGUUUAUGUACUGAUCAAGAAACGAGCUCAGACACCAUCAGUAUAUUCUUGAUGAAUGCCCGACCUUUUACUGAGUCAGUUAUAUUCACAUCUUUCAUUAUUAUAUUUGUUUACAUUAUUUUCUUUCUCUGCAAAUCUUCUACCAUAUCCAUGUUAUAACUUUUGUCACUGAGGACAAAAUGAAAACCAGAAUGUUGAUACAAAACCAUCUUGUACAACUUUGGCUAUACUGAACCAUAAACUCAUUUCAAAAUAAUCCUGGCCACACUGCCAACCCCGAACGAGUGGGACAAGCUGCCUCUCCGAGAGAGCUAAAACGUGCUUUUUCAACGGCAGCACGUGGUAAUUUCAAAUUUUCAACGGACGAGCUUGACCUCAGACCUUAAAAGUGAUCACCGAUGACCGGAAGCUGACAGACGAAAUUCUUCAAACCGCCUUAGUGGAAGCCGAAAACUUGGUGAACUCUCGUCCCCUUACGUAUGUGUCCACUAAUGUGAGCGACGACAAAGAGGCCUUGACACCAAAUCAUUUUUUGUGUGGACGUUCAUCACUUGAGUGUCUGCCAGCGAAACAUCCGAUAGACUUAGCCGAUACGUUACGGAGCAGUUAUAAUCGAGCGCAGUUUCUAGCGGAUAAAUUCUGGGGCCGUUGGCAGAAAGAAUAUUUGCCGAUUUUGAACAAGAGACCGAAGUGGUUUGUGGAUCAACGGCAAGUAUCGGUUGGAGACCUGGUCUUCGUUGCUGAUGGAGAAAGACGGACUAACUGGGAGCGAGGCAUAGUGAAGGCAGUAUUCACAGGAAGCGAUGGACGCAUUCGCUCGGCGUCUAUUCAGACGAGCAGAGGAGAGAAAAUUCGGCCGGUGGCGAAGAUAGCAGUUCUGGAACUGGCAUAGGCACUGAUCCGCACUGAUCCGCACUGAAGAGGUUUACGGGUGGGGGGAUGUUACCACCGGCCAUGAAAGGGUCGACGAGCGACCGUCGUCGUUGUCGUCGUCGUGAGAAACUGUGAACGCAACCGGAGCGAGCGAACGCACACGGUGUUGUUGUUGUUGUCUCGUGUAUGUAGGCAAGUGGUACACCGUGUGGAAAGAGGAGAAACGGCAAACACUGCAUCCACUGCAUUUCUACCAUUGUGGGAAUAGGCUAUGUGAUGGAUAUGAAGAUGGGGAUUCCCCCAUCGUAAUUUUACCUAUUCGUGUUAGAACUGUUUGUACCGUCCAUUAGUGAAGAAGUUUAGAUCUUGUCGUCUAUUUUCCAUCGUUAAUUCCGUCCUCUAGAGUAGUCGUGAUUGUUUUUGACUACUGUUGUUUGCCGUAAGAUUUGUAUAGUAGUAAAUGUUCCUUGUUGUAAUUCGUGAUUUGAUUUGUAGGAUCGCCCUUGCAAUCCCCAAAGUAGGAGUUUUGUAGUGGUUUUGAUUGUGGAAAAAAAACUAGAUUGUAAGUUGUAAGUGAAUAUAAUUAUAUGUAAAUAUUAGUGUAUAAAUCAAUCAAUGGUAAUAUAUUUUAGUUGAGUUUUUUUAUCCACGGAAAUACUCGGGAUCGUUUAAUUAUUCACACCCGACGGGUGCGAACAUUGCUUUAAAAUGAUUGCAUUCUACUUACAAAUGAUGUUCUUCCUGAACUUUACGUGCCAUCGAAGAAGCUUCUCUGCAUCUUGAGCUGUCAUAGUUUUGUUGAUAAAAAAAAAACAACAACAAUCGAGAAUGGGAAACUUCUCAACUAGGUUUUGAAACGGGUUUAUUGCUACUUAUAAUGCGGUUGUCAAAACCUCUCCGAGAGUGGCCCACUUAGCCGGAAGAUGCUCUUAAGGUGAAACAUCAAGAAAUCCCAUUGCAAUUUUGCAUACGCACUUGUUAAUCAUGGCUUUGCUCACUUGCAAAAAGAGGCAGCUUUUCCAAAUUGAGCAAAUUUGAUUACGAAUCUUUAAGAUCGGUGCUCUUGAAAACGUGAGUAGGAGUUCAAGUCGGCCAUUGUGGCAGCCAUAUUUGUAUUCUCUGAAGUUUCUCCUUAAAGAGGUUAUUAAGAGGUUUUGAUGUAUAAAUCAGUUUUAUUGCAAGUUUUAAAAAUAUGGCCAAGAAGAUCUUUUGUAGAGCCGAACAAAACUUAAAAUGUUACUUGGGUCUCGUCAACUACGCUUCUCCGACCUUGCUGGAUAAAAAGACGAACUGGUAGGGAUAGUAACCGCGCAUGCUGCUUCCACUAGCAUCUCCAACCAUUCUACAAAAUUCGACAGCGUAACAGAUUGAAGUUGAGUUUUAAAGUUCAUGUCAGUCUGUCGACUAGCUCUUGAAGUAGAGCUACGUUGUAUAACUGUUCAUCGAGUCCACAAGCUUUGAUUGUAGCACACAUAUUUUGAUCGGCAACGCCAAAGUCAAUGAGCGUCGAGAGCUUUUCUGUUUUUGGCGAUAGCAUGUUCCGAAUCUUGAAUAACAGAGAAUGGAUUAUCGUCCGAACAAGGUUCGCAACGUUUGAAGCACGCCAGUCCAGCUGGGUACAACAAGCGACUGCGAACCGCUUCUAGAGCUUUGCCUUUGAGACUGAGUUGCAAACGAAGCACUAUACCCACACAUUCUGGUUGUAUUUUCGUAGGUUGCUAUGAAAAGCGGCCACUCCUCCGGUGCGCCAGAGAACGUCGGUAGCUCUUUUGCCACCGCUUGGCGUGCGGCAAGCUGACUUCGACUCAACUCAGCAUGUGGUUGUGAAAAUUGGAAAAGGUCUGCUGUUGGUGUGAAACCCUAUAGGCUUCUUGAUCCAUUCCUGCAGCUUUACCGACCUGAUCUGAAUCAUCGCCAGCAACAUCGUUGAACUGCAUAAGCCUCAACCGUUCUUCUAAAUGUUUCAUUUCAAGCACCUAUUUUUUGGCUAACAGUGCUAACUGCCAUUCGAUUCCUGCUGCUCCUUCUUCUGAUGUAGUCCGACGAGGUUCAGUAACUCGAUUCGUCCCAGCUAUUGCUGUUGAGUUUGCACUCGGCUGGAUCUGAAUGAUUGGUGCCCUCAGUCCUGACGAACGCUGGAACAUGGGACUCGGUUGGUUUCUGGAGCUGCGAGUCUGAUCGACCGUAUUCUGCGGUUCGGUUUGCCUCAACAGAGUUUCAAAAUGAAUCCUUUGUCGAUCCAAUGCUUUCCUUUGGUCCUCCACUUUCGCUUUUAAUAAACGUUCGAAGCUCUUCUGUUGUUCUGCCAUCAUCUGCUGCAUGUUCUCCAUCUGAUUCUGCUACACCUGGUACUCUGCAGACUGACUUGAUGUUGAUAUCGUUGCCGUGGUUCUGGUCCCAGGUGCCGUUAACGGGAUAGCGCCCGCUACGCCCGGAUCCGCUAUACAGUUGCUACAGCUCCAAUCCACGUUAGCUAUGCUUUUAUCCACGCUCACACACUCAAAGUGAUACUACCCUCCACAGAUAUCGCAACACACCAUUCGACUGUUUUCCCCAGAUUCACAGAUCUUGUAGCUUGAGAACUGCCCCGUAGCGUUUUGAACGGUACAAAUCUCUGAAUCAUCGUUUUGCUCGAACCGCACAUUUGACCGCUUAUUUGACCCCUUUUUCAUAAUGAGAUUGACAGCACUUUCCGAUCGCGUUAACGAAAAUUCAAAUUUGUUGCCUAUACAUCGAAUUUGUUUCCGAUAUUUUAAACUCACUUUAUUAACUACUGUAGGGUUAGAAUUUUCCUGCAAGGAAAAUUUUCUCGACUCUCUGGGCAUAGUGUAUCAUUGCGCUUGCCUCACAAUAUACAAAUUCAUGCAAUGGCUGGCAAAGAAAGCUCUCCAAUUAAUAACUGUGGAAGUGCUCAAAAGAACACUAAGUUGGAGAGAGUCAGGCCAAGUCCCAGUUGGGACGUAGAGCCAUAAAGAAGAAGAAGAAGAUCAACAUCAAAUCUGACUAUACAUGUCAAUGGUUGCUCCUCCGUGAUUGAUCUGAGCUGGUACUAAUUGUACUGAGAUCCAAAUGAAUAAGGGAUGGGAUACUCCACUUAUUCUCAAAGUGCAAUUUAAGCAGCUCAUUUAUUUUUGAUCAAUAACGGCGCCGGUCACGUCUUAUAGUCAGUUGGGAAGGCAUAGGGAUGUUAGAGUGAGCUGGUUGUUCCUACUUAAGACCGAGAUCACCUCUGCAUCCUCACAACCAGCAGCCAGUGUUGCGAAACUCAUGCUCACGAGUAAAAAAUACUCACUCACCUUACUCAUUUGCGAGUAAUGCUCACGCUGUGAGUUACUCGCGUAUGAGUAUACUCACGCGUGAGUAAUGACUAAGUUAUUUUUGUUGGUUUGAAAUGAUGUUUUCGUUUGUUCUGUACUGCAAUGGUGAUUAUUUAUAUACAAGGCACAGUUUUCGAGGAAAGGUGGAUCUGCUCGAGAGCUUUGGCACCAUAGGCUAAAAACUCUUAUUGUUUACCUACGCAUGCAAAGUAAUAUCAUCAAUUAGGAAAUCUCUAUAUUUCACCACACUUUGUCAAUGGUAUAACUUUUUUCGCAUACGUCGGGUUACUUUACGGUAUUCAAUAAAGAUGUUUGGCAUAUAUUUACCUAACUUCAAAUUUAAAAUGGUAGGGUCAAUUGCAGCAUCUCCUAGGUCCAAACAUUUAAAACUUUUCUUUUCUGCAUACAUUUGAUCGUUUUUUUUUUCCAUGUGGCUAGUUUCUAUUACUGUGCAAUAAUAUAGGGCAUAUAAUGGACAAAUAGUGGUUUCGCUUCAAAAUUACUUGAGUAGGCAAGUAAGGAGAAAAAGUUUUACACUGGUAACGCCUCCCUUGUAAAUCUAAAAGAGCUGUAGUUUUUUCUGCGCGGAAAAAUAGUCCGUUCUAUUAUUCCGUAAGGAAAAGUAACGUUUUUCCUCAUACUAAACACUUGAUCAAUUUGUAAUUUAAAAUUUACAAAAAAUAGUAAAUUUACUUGAGUACUCAACUUUCGAACAUGAAACUUACACACUAAACGCAUCCAGCAAAGCAAAAUCCAGCAAAACGAAUAGUUGAUUUUUAAGCAAUUUUUUGCUAGAAUCCGGUACAACUUUGUGCCCUAUCAGCACAAAUUGCUGGAUGUUUAAUAAAAAAGUGCUUAGACUUGAUAGAAUUGAAACAAAACUUUAUUGGAACUUAU